AAUAAGUAGAGUAUGUUGGUUCCCAGGUGUCGAUUUGAAGUGAAUCUCAAAGAUGCCUCUAGCUCGACAACUGGGAUGAUUAUGGAAAAAGAAGGAGAAAAACUAUUAUCUCUUACUGCAGCAGAGAUUUACGAAAGAGCUUCAGCUGAGUUACAAUUUGUAAAAAAACAAUUUAUACAUAAUCACCUCCUAAAUAAACUUUAAAAAAAUUAAACGAAUUUUUUUCCCCUAGAAUGACAACCUGCCUGUGGAAGAUUUCCAAAGCAAAUUUGACCAGAAGGUGUUCAGAAUUCAAGUGAAGAAAGCAUUUGGCCGUGCUUCAUCGACAUCAUCUUCAAAAUUGUAUAUCCAGUCAUACAUUGAAAAUGAAAGCAUUAUUCAUUCUCUCCCAGCACCAGCCACAACAUCAAUCAAUAUCAGCGAAAGCAGUAAAAGGAAAAAAGAACAUGUAUCUUCCCAUGAUACAAAAACAAACCUGCCAACCGAACAAGGUGAAUCAGUCAAGAUGAAACAGAAACUGGGGCCAACAACUCCAGUGAAAAGGAAAUGAAGGUUAACCAACUAAUUUUGCAACCACUAUUGGCUUUCAUGGAACAAAGUUGUUUUGCAGGAAAAUGAAGUAUUGACUAUAACUUACUCAAUUUUUGGCUUGUACAUAUAUUUCCAGUGACUUCUAUAGUCAUGGAAUAAAGGAAGCACCAGCUGUUGUUAAAUCCUACUAUGACAAAAGAAUUGUAGGAUGUCCAGAAAAUGAAAACAGUAAGUCCAUCUCUGUUACAGAUUUUUUCCUUUAGCCAGUUCACUUAAUCUUCUAAGUUGUUUUCUAAUUUAACAGAAGAUCAGCAUCACGUUGUUUGUGUUAUAUCCCGUAAUUUGCGUGUUCGGAUAAUUCGAGAUGAUUGCGGGAAGUUAAGGGCAAGGCUAUAUUUUUUACCUUGUUUAGCACACAAGUUGUUCAUGAAAGUUUUGAUGUGGAAAUAUUAAGAAAGGCUAGGGGCAAAAAGGAAAAUUCGCAAGAUGGCUCAUAGAAAAAUGGAGGAAGGCCAAGGGCAAAUUUGGAAUUUGGAAAAUAAAUUUUCAUGAAUUGCAAAAAAAAAAAAAAAAAAGAUGGGCUUGCACUAAAUGGGCCAAGUGGCCGGCCAAGGUGGUGGGCUUUAGCCCACAUGGAUUAAUUUUACAUAUGCAUAAAAGAUGACUUAAAGGUCACAUUUCUCAUCUUUAUCCAUAGAGGGUUCAAGAAACUUGGAGAGGAAAGAAAGGAGAAGGCCAUUUCGGCCAUGGCUUACCAAACAAGCUUUGAAAAAAUCUUGAUAAAAAAAAAUAAUAUUUUCUUCUAGCUUUUCUACUAAUUGGAAGGUCCUCUUUAACAUGGAGAAAUUGUUGGAGUAAGCAAAAUAUUCGUUGUGCGAGUUGUGGACUCUAGCCGAGAAAGAAGAUGAGUGGGAAAAAAGGUAUGUGUUCAAUCUCCUUUUACAUGUAUUAUGGAUGAUUAUGUGUGUUGUAGUACGUAAAAGUGGAUGAAAAUCAUGAAAUAUGGAUGUUAUGUUGGUGGCCGAAUAGAGGUGUGUUGGUAAGAAGUGAUGAAUUGAUUUUAUUUAGUAUAUUGAUUGUUGUUGUUGUGGAUUUCAUGAUGAAAAUAAAGGUUUGACGACUUGAAAUGAAGUUGUAGUUGUUUGUGGGUUGUUGUAGAAGUUAAUGCAAUUUUAAUAUGGUUUCUUGUAAUUAUGAGAAUGAAGUUGUUAAUGUGUAGAUUGUCGGUGUAGUUCAUGAAUUUGGACAAAAAGAAAAUAUGUUGUCAUUGUUCUUGUUGACUUUGGAAGGUUUCGGGUGAAGUGGUAUGUUGGUCGGAUUGUUUGAAGUGUUCUUGAAUCAUGUUAGAAUGAUUUCGGAUUAAUACUUGAAUGUGAAAUAAUUGAUGUUAGCUUGACUAUGUGUUGUUGAAUUGAAUAUAAAAGGAAUGCCGUCGAAUUGUGUAAAAGGAUUGCUAGUGUUAGAAUGCAUUUGAAUUAAUUGUUGAAGUUGGAGAUAUGAUUGUUCGUAUUGUUGUUGAUAAUUUGGCCGAGUUGAAUUCUCGGAUUUGUUGUUGAUAAAUUGGCCGAGUUAGAUUUUCGGGGAUGGUGUAUUUACAGGGGGAAUGCUGCCGAAAUUUCGGCAGAUUAUGAAUGAAUUUAUUUGGAAGACUAAGGCAAGUGUGUGACAAUGUGUUUAAUGAUUGUGUAAUCUUCUUGAAUGUAGACUAGCGAUAGCAAGCUUGGACAGAUAAGCGUAGCUAAUAGGACGUGGAACAGGUAUGUAAAGCUUACUUUUUCUUUCUUUUGGCAUGCCCUAGAGCUAAGUAAGCUAUGAUACUUAUCUUGGGGUGACUCUAUUCUUGAUUCCGAGCUUGUUAAUGAUCCUUAUUCACUUUUUGAUAUGCGUAUAUUUAGUAUGGUCGAGCUUAUUAUAUGAAGAAUAACAAGAAGAGUAUAAAGAGUUCCUGUUUUAUUUAUAAGAGAUCUGUAAGUAGUAAUGUCCCUAAUUUUCGUAGAUGGUUUCGGAUUGUCUUGGAAAUGCUCGUAGAAGUUUCUAUAACGAAUAACGUUCAUAGAUUUCAUAAGCGAACUCGGAUUGCGUUAGAAACGUUCAUGGGGGGUUCUAUAAUGAAUAAUGUCCAUAAUGAUAUUUGAAAGGUACUUGGUAUGAUUGUUGUUUUAAUUUUUCAAAAAUAACUUCUGAAACGUUCGUAGAAGGUUCUGUACUUCAAACGCUCAUAACUUUCUUAUUCUAAGUCGGAUUGACCCGAAACCUGUUUCUGAGUCUUCAGGCGUCGGUAAGUAUAUUUAUCCAUCGAAUCUUAAAAGUUGAUUUACAUGCAUUUAGUUUCCUACUACUCUGCUCGUGCAUAUGGUUGUUAACUUUCUUAUACUAACUCGGAUUUACUUGAAACGUGUUUGUGGCUUAUUAAUGAUUUCAAGAAAAUUAGUUUUGUACUAAAGGAAACAUAAACUUGACUUUCAAAACCACUCCGAAUGGGGUGUGGGAUUUUACUAUUAAGAUUUUCAAAACCACUCCGAAGGAGGUGCGAGAUUUUACUAUUUAGAUUUUCAAAAUCACUCCGAAGGGGGUGCGAGGUUGUACUAUUUCAUUCCAUAUACGACUCAUGUUUACAUUCCAUGGCAUCGUUAUUAUUAUGUCGGGACCGACAUGCCCGAAGGGGCCAGGGUAGUAUUAUGUCGGAACCGGCAUGCCCGAAGGGGCCAUUAUUAUUAUUAUGUCGGGAUCGGCAUGCCCGAUGGGGCCAGGGUAGUAUUAUGUCGGAACCGGCAUGCCCAAAGGGGCCAUCAUUAUUAUUAUGUCGGGACCGGCAUGCCCGAUGGGGCUAGGGUAGUAUUAUGUCGGAACCGGCAUGCCCGAAGGGGCCAUCAUUGUUACUAUGCCGGAAGCGGCCAUCCGAAGGGACCAUUAUGAUACUAUUUUCUCAUAGUGUAUGCUAGAAUUUGGGUAUGCUGUGUUUAUAUUAGGUAUGCUAGAAUUUGUGUAAGGCACUACGUGGCACGGUUCAAAAUGUUAUUCCAGGUAGCUCCCGGGUUGUCUCUAAACUGGUUACUGUAACGCUUUCCUGUGUUUAUGAUUCAGUGAUGCUUUACAUAUUCAGUACAUAUUCCGUACUGACCCCCUUUCUUCGGGAGCUGCGUUUCAUGCCACGUAGGUGUAUACAGAUGAGUGGAAGGCAUUGGCUAUAGGAUGUUCCCAGGAUACCAGCUGAAUUGGCGAGCUCCAUCUCAGUUCGGAGUAUUGCCGAGUCAAGUACUUAUGUCAUGGUAUUUUGUAUAUGUUAGAGACUUUGCAGACAGUGUCCUGUGGAUAGGGCGUCGAGAAGUGCGAAUCAUUUAUAGAUGUUAAAAGAGUAUGUAUUUUUAGAUGAUUUCAGUUGAUUUGAAGUACGUAAUUAAUUGAAAGUUUUCAUAAUAUGUAUAAAGACAAUGAUCUUUAUUUGGAAA